UACCACAGACAGAGUAGAAAUGAUUCUGAAGAGAGGUCCUUCAGUCCCACAGAACAAAGGGUGAUUUUUUUUCUCUUCUAGGUUUCCCAGACAGGAGGACCAUUCCAUGCCAUGUGGCUUAACCUAUGUUCAAGGAACAACAGUAUGAUGGGGACAUGCGAAAGACACCAGAUAAAAGUCCUCAACCCAUUCCUACUUCCAAUAUCUGAAAUCCUUCCAAGUCCUUCAGGAGACUCUGGCUCAUCCAUGCCUGGACUCUGUCCUAUCCAGCUCCAGAAGCAACCAAAAGCAGAACCAGAAAAAAAUUAAAAGCAAGAGUUUAGCUUUUUGCCUUAACAGAACUUGCCCUUAACUACUAAGGAGUGCCUAGCUGCUUUCUCUAAAGGUAGGUUAGUAACAAUCCUAAGACUAAGUAUGAAUUCCAUUUUGCAAUUAAGGAAACAAAGCCUUGUAGAGGUUAAAUAACAGGCAAAUUUUCUCAGAGCUGGCAACAGAUAUCAAAAGGCCAACAUUCAUAUGUGCUCUGGAUUCACACCAAAGCUCACCCUCACACCACAUUUAUUUACUAUCCCUAAUUUUCCCAUUCUGAAAUCAUACCAAACUAUAUACAGAUCACUUUUUAUUUAUAUCUAAAAUGAUUGAGACUAAAUUCAUAAGUGAUUUAAAUUAUCAUCAUCAUCUUUAGCCCAUAUAUUAGUGAAGCUCCUCUGAUUGUAAGUUACAGGAACAAAUCUGGUGUAGAUACAAUCUACACCAGCUGUCAGUUUGCUCCAGGGAAUGUAAGGAAAGGAGGUGGUAGGUGGGGGCAGAAUAUGAAGUAUGCUCUUUGUUCUCACUGGCUUUUUCUGUGAUUCAAAUCCCUGAUUAAAAACAAGUUGCC
rnacentral:lncRNA from 1 species